rnacentral:rRNA from 1 species
GAUGAACGCUGGCGGCGUGCCUAAUACAUGCAAGUCGAGCGAACGGACGAGAAGCUUGCUUCUCUGAUGUUAGCGGCGGACGGGUGAGUACUACGUGGAUAACCUACCUAUAAGACUGGGAUAACUUCGGGAAACCGGAGCUAACACCGGAUAAUAUUUUGAACCGCAUGGUUCAAAGGUGAAAGACCGUCUUGCUGUCACUUAUAGAUGGAUCCGCGCUGCAUUAGCUAGUUGGUAAGGUAACGGCUUACCAAGGCUACGAUGCAUAGCCGACCUGAGAGGGUGAUCAGCCACACUGGAACUGAGACACGGUCCAGACUCCUACGGGAGGCAGCAGUAGGGAAUCUUCCGCAAUGGGCGAAAGCCUGACGGAGCAACGCCGCGUGAGUGAUGAAGGUCUUCGGAUCGUAAAACUCUGUUAUUAGGGAAGAACAUAUGUGUAAGUAACUGUGCACAUCUUGACGGUACCUAAUCAGAAAGCCACGGCUAACUACGUG